rnacentral:rRNA from 1 species
CUACGGGUUGCAGCAGUGAGGAAUAUUGGACAAUGGGCGAAAGCCUGAUCCAGCGACGCCGCGUGGGUGAAGAAGGCCUUCGGGUUGUAAAGCCCUGUCAGAGGGGACGAAGUUCUGACGGUACCCUCAGAGGAAGCACAGGCUAACUCCGUGCCAGCAGCCGCGGUAAUACGGAGUGUGCGAGCGUUGCUCGGAAUCACUGGGCGUAAAGGGCACGUAGGCGGCCUCGUGUGUUGGGUGCGAAAGCCCACGGCUCAACCGUGGAACUGCACUCAAAACUGCGAGGCUAGAGUACGGAAGAGGAAGGCGGAAUUCCCAGUGUAGGGGUGAAAUCCGUAGAUAUUGGGAAGAACACCAGUGGCGAAGGCGGCCUUCUGGGACGAUACUGACGCUGAUGUGCGAAAGCGUGGGGAGCAAACGGGAUUAGAUACCCUCGUAGUC